CCCAUUCCACAGCAUCACCAGA
rnacentral:miRNA from 1 species